rnacentral:misc_RNA from 1 species
AAGUCGUAACAAGGUUUCCGUAGGUGAACCUGCGGAAGGAUCAUUAAAGAUUUGGGCCUCGCGCCUCAACACUCUUCAGCUGUGCGCUUCGGCUGCACGCUGUCGAAAACCUCACACCUGUGCACGUUUACGGUCGCGGCUUUCGAGUCGCCUCCGCCUCACAACUUAUAACUACCGUCGAGAACGUAUCUACCAUAAAUAGUAACAACUUUCAACAACGGAUCUCUUGGCUCUC